rnacentral:rRNA from 1 species
ACUCCUACGGGAGGCAGCAGUGGGGAAUUUUGGACAAUGGGCGAAAGCCUGAUCCAGCAAUGCCGCGUGAGUGAAGAAGGCCUUCGGGUUGUAAAGCUCUUUUGUCAGGGAAGAAACGGUGAGAGCUAAUAUCUUUUGCUAAUGACGGUACCUGAAGAAUAAGCACCGGCUAACUACGUGCCAGCAGCCGCGGUAAUACGUAGGGUGCAAGCGUUAAUCGGAAUUACUGGGCGUAAAGCGUGCGCAGGCGGUUUUGUAAGUCUGAUGUGAAAUCCCCGGGCUCAACCUGGGAAUUGCAUUGGAGACUGCAAGGCUAGAAUCUGGCAGAGGGGGGUAGAAUUCCACGUGUAGCAGUGAAAUGCGUAGAUAUGUGGAGGAACACCGAUGGCGAAGGCAGCCCCCUGGGUCAAGAUUGACGCUCAUGCACGAAAGCGUGGGGAGCAAACAGGAUUAGAAACCCUGGUAGUCCC